GUAGAGUCUAGUGCCCCACCUUCUUGAAAAUUCACCAGCUGUCAUUAGAUAUAUUAAUAACAGGAAGUUAAAGCAUCCAAAUUAACAGUAAAUAAUGUAGACAAAAAAUAGGCUCGUAGGCUGCAUCUGUUCAAGUGUUUAAAAAAUGGACUUGUGAAAGUCAACCUAUGUAUUGUAUACAAAAGUAAAAUAUGAAAUGUACUAAAGAGUGAAUUGUUAGGAACUGAAAGUAAAUUUAAAAUUUUAAGUUGAAAUAGAUAGACUGACUGUGAUCAUUUUCACUAUUUUAACUUACUUGAAAUUGAAUGUUAAACA